AGUGAACGCUGGCGGUAGGCCUAACACAUGCAAGUCGAACGGCAGCACAGUAAGAGCUUGCUCUUACGGGUGGCGAGUGGCGGACGGGUGAGGAAUACAUCGGAAUCUACUUUUUCGUGGGGGAUAACGUAGGGAAACUUACGCUAAUACCGCAUACGACCUACGGGUGAAAGCAGGGGAUCUUCGGACCUUGCGCGAUUGAAUGAGCCGAUGUCGGAUUAGCUAGUUGGCGGGGUAAAGGCCCACCAAGGCGACGAUCCGUAGCUGGUCUGAGAGGAUGCUCAGCAACACUGGAACUGAGACACGGUCCAGACUCCUACGGGAGGCAGCAGUGGGGAAUAUUGGACAAUGGGCGCAAGCCUGAUCCAGCCAUACCGCGUGGGUGAAGAAGGCCUUCGGGUUGUAAAGCCCUUUUGUUGGGAAAGAAAAGCAGCAGGUUAAUACCCCGCUGUUCUGACGGUACCCAAAGAAUAAGCACCGGCUAACUUCGUG
rnacentral:rRNA from 1 species